rnacentral:rRNA from 1 species
GGUUGAUCCUGCCAGUAGUCAUAUGCUUGUCUCAAAGAUUAAGCCAUGCAUGUCUCAGUACAAGCCUAAUUAAGGUGAAACCGCGAAAGGCUCAUUAAAUCAGUUAUGGUUCCUUAGAUCGUACCCACAAUUACUUGGAUAACUGUGGUAAUUCUAGAGCUAAUACAUGCAAACAGAGCUCCGACCGGAGACGGAAGGAGUGCUUUUAUUAGAUCAAAACCAAUCGGUGGCGGGUUCGCGCUCGUCAUCGUACAACUUGGUGACUCUGAAUAACUUUACGCUGAUCGCACGGUCUUAGCGCCGGCGACGCAUCUUUCAAAUGUCUGCCUUAUCAACUGUCGAUGGUAGGUUCUGCGCCUACCAUGGUUGUAACGGGUAACGGGGAAUCAGGGUUCGAUUCCGGAGAGGGAGCCUGAGAAACGGCUACCACAUCCAAGGAAGGCAGCAGGCGCGCAAAUUACCCACUCCCGGCACGGGGAGGUAGUGACGAAAAAUAACGAUACGGGACUCAUCCGAGGCCCCGUAAUCGGAAUGAGUACACUCUAAACCCUUUAACGAGGAUCAAUUGGAGGGCAAGUCUGGUGCCAGCAGCCGCGGUAAUUCCAGCUCCAAUAGCGUAUAUUAAAGUU